rfam:Triticum aestivum genome assembly, contig: Triticum_aestivum_CS42_TGACv1_scaffold_328413_4BS
CAAAUACUCCCUCCGUCCGGAAAUACUUGUCAUCAAAAUGGAUAAAAGGAAAUGUAUCUAGUCGUAUUUUAGUUUUAGAUACAUCUAUUUUUAUCCAUUUUGACGACAAGUAUUUUCCGAUGGAGGGAGUAGAAA